GCAUAUCAAUAAGCGGAGGAAAAGAAACCAACAGGGAUUGCCUUAGUAGCGGCGAGUGAAGCGGCAAAAGCUCAAAUUUGAAAUCUGGCACUUUCAGUGUCCGAGUUGUAAUUUGAAGAAGGUAUCUUUGGGUCUGGCUCUUGUCUAUGUUUCUUGGAACAGAACGUCACAGAGGGUGAGAAUCCCGUGCGAUGAGAUGACCCAGACCUAUGUAAAGUUCCUUCGAAGAGUCGAGUUGUUUGGGAAUGCAGCUCUAAGUGGGUGGUAAAUUCCAUCUAAAGCUAAAUAUUGGCGAGAGACCGAUAGCGAACAAGUACAGUGAUGGAAAGAUGAAAAGAACUUUGAAAAGAGAGUGAAAAAGUACGUGAAAUUGUUGAAAGGGAAGGGCUUGAGAUCAGACUUGGUAUUUUGUAUGUUACUCUCUCGGGGGUGGCCUCUACAGUUUACCGGGCCAGCAUCAGUUUGGGCGGUAGGACAAUUGCAAAGAAAUGUGGCACUGCCUCGGUAGUGUGUUAUAGUCUUUGUCGAUACUGCCAGCCUAGACUGAGGACUGCGGCUUCGGCCUAGGAUGUUGGCAUAAUGAUCUUAAGUCGCCCGUCUUGAACA
rnacentral:rRNA from 1 species